UAGGGAAUCUUCCGCAAUGGGCGAAAGCCUGACGGAGCAACGCCGCGUGAGUGAUGAAGGUCUUCGGAUCGUAAAAUUCUGUUAUUAGGGAAGAACAAAUGUGUAAGUAACUAUGCACGUCUUGACGGUACCUAAUCAGAAAGCCACGGCUAACUACGUGCCAGCAGCCGCGGUAAUACGUAGGUGGCAAGCGUUAUCCGGAAUUAUUGGGCGUAAAGCGCGCGUAGGCGGUUUUUUAAGUCUGAUGUGAAAGCCCACGGCUCAACCGUGGAGGGUCAUUGGAAACUGGAAAACUUGAGUGCAGAAGAGGAAAGUGGAAUUCCAUGUGUAGCGGUGAAAUGCGCAGAGAUAUGGAGGAACACCAGUGGCGAAGGCGACUUUCUGGUCUGUAACUGACGCUGAUGUGCGAAAGCGUGGGGAUCAAACAGG
rnacentral:rRNA from 1 species